rnacentral:rRNA from 1 species
UGGGGAAUUUUGGACGAAUUGGGCGAAAGCCGAUCCAGCAAUGCCGCGUGUGUGAAGAAGGCCUUCGGGUUGUAAAGCACUUUUGUCCGGAAAGAAAUCCUUGGCUCUAAUACAGUCGGGGGAUGACGGUACCGGAAGAAUAAGCACCGGCUAACUACGUGCCAGCAGCCGCGGUAAUACGUAGGGUGCAAGCGUUAAUCGGAAUUACUGGGCGUAAAGCGUGCGCAGGCGGUUUGCUAAGACCGAUGUGAAAUCCCCGGGCUCAACCUGGGAACUGCAUUGGUGACUGGCAGGCUAGAGUAUGGCAGAGGGGGGUAGAAUUCCACGUGUAGCAGUGAAAUGCGUAGAGAUGUGGAGGAAUACCGAUGGCGAAGGCAGCCCCCUGGGCCAAGUACUGACGCUCAUGCACG